AGCAGUCGGACCUUGCUGUCUCCCCGACGUGUGUUGUGUGUGUGAGGGAAAUGGGACUGACGUUAUGUGUUGAUCCUUCUGCCAGAUGUCCGAAAUAAACGACAAGUUUGCCAA